UACGAAGGGGGCUAGCGUUGCUCGGAAUCACUGGGCGUAAAGGGCGCGUAGGCGGCCAUUCAAGUCAGGGGUGAAAGCCCAAGGCUCAACCUUGGAACUGCCUUUGAUACUGUUUGGCUUGAGACCGGUAGAGGUAAGUGGAACUGCGAGUGUAGAGGUGAAAUUCGUAGAUAUUGGAGGAACACCAGUGGCGAAGGCGGCUCACUGGCUCGACACUGACACUGAGGCACGAAAGCGUGGGGAUCAAACAGG
rnacentral:rRNA from 1 species